CCGAGUGCGGGCCCUCGCGGCCCAACCUCCCACCCGUGUCUCUCUCUACCUGUUGCUUUGGCGGGCCCACCGGGGCCACCCGGUCGCCGGGGGACGUCCGUCCCCGGGCCCGCGCCCGCCGAAGCGCUCUGUGAACCCUGAUGAAGAUGGGCUGUCUGAGUCGAAUGAAAAUUGUCA
rnacentral:misc_RNA from 1 species